rnacentral:rRNA from 1 species
GGAAAGGGCGGGGUGCUAUACAUGCAAGUCGAGCGGAUGCUUCAUUUCGCUUGCUUUUGAAGAUCAGCGGCGGACGGGUGAGUAACACGUGGGCAACCUGCCUGUAAGACUGGGAUAACUUCGGGAAACCGGAGCUAAUACCGGAUAAUCCUUUCCCUCUCAUGAGGGAAAGCUGAAAGACGGUUUCGGCUGUCACUUACAGAUGGGCCCGCGGCGCAUUAGCUAGUUGGUGAGGUAACGGCUCACCAAGGCGACGAUGCGUAGCCGACCUGAGAGGGUGAUCGGCCACACUGGGACUGAGACACGGCCCAGACUCCUACGGGAGGCAGCAGUAGGGAAUCUUCCGCAAUGGACGAAAGUCUGACGGAGCAACGCCGCGUGAGCGAUGAAGGCCUUCGGGUCGUAAAGCUCUGUUGUCAGGGAAAGAAACAAGUAUCGGAGUAACUGCCCGGUACCCUUGACGGUACCCUGACCAGAAAGCCACGGCUAACUACGUGCCAGCAGCCGCGGUAGAUACGGUAGGUGGCAAGCGUUGUCCGGAAUUAUUGGGCGUAAAGCGCGCGCAGGCGGUUCCUUAAGUCUGAUGUGAAAGCCCCCCCGGCUCAACCGGGGGAGGGGUCAUUGGAAAACUGGGGGGAAACCUUGAGCUGCCAGAAGAGAGAAGCCGGCAACUUCCACGGUGUAGCUGAUUGCAAAUUGCGUAGAGCAUGUGGAGGCAAGCAGCAGUGGCCGUACGCAGCUCUCUGCUCUGGUAGCUGCACGGCC